AGAUCGUGGAGUUUGUUUACUCCAUGAUUAGUGCCGCCGCAGAAUUGCAGAUGACGAGGACCACCACGACCACCUCUCCUCGCCCCGAGCUUGAGUCGGGUCCUGACCGCCGUGGCAGUGACACUGGCCGCGGGGUCAACUGAGGUCAGUUAUGGGGUCAGCAAGACAGGUUUGUCUCAUCCUUCGCCACCUCAUAGCACAAGGGAUGGUAAAGGGUCGCUCUAACCUGUGAGUUUUAAGACUUGCUCGCCAUGGGUUCAAACCCCAACUGUUCCCUGAUUUGUUAAUAUUUCCAUAUGAAGAGCUAAAGCUGUAUGGGGAUCAUCCAGAGCAAACUGUAGUGCAGACUCGAUUCUCCUUGUGCUGAACGUGAAAAGCGCCCCAUUCUUAUUUGCAGACAUACAUAGAUGUCUGUCGCCAGUGUCAGGUGAAUGAAGGUCGACGGACACAGCUUUUUUGUCGCGAAUCAAGUUUUAGAGUCAAGACGCUUGAUGCAAAAUGUUGUUUUUUUGCGUCGAUCACACGACUCCUCCUCCCCUUCCCCAUCCCGGCACCUGAGUGUCUUCUAGCAGUCAAGACUUAUCAGUUCUGAGCACCACCAGACCACGACAACAUCAACGAUGCAUCAGUCCUAAGGAACCAUAACACCACGACAACAUCAAUAAUGCAUCAGUCCUGGAAACCAUAAAAGCAUCAUCAAUGCACCAGUCCUGAGCACCAUAACACCACGACUGCACCAAUGAUGCAUCAGUCCUGGGAACCACAUAAUCAAUGUAUCAGUCCUGGGAACCACAUCAUCAAUGUAUCAGUCCUGGGAACCACAUCAUCAAUGUAUCAGUCCUAGGAACCACAAGACCACGACAUAAUAUAAAGCUGACAACGAGUCUCAGCAAGCGCGCCGCUGGACUACCUAUGCCGUCUGUCACCGGGGUGUUAAGUCCAGUAAUGAGACGCUGAAACAGUUCCGGGAGUUGCAUCUGAGAGGUAGGCGAGGGAGAAGAGAGCAUCUUGGAGCGUGAGAGCCGUGGCUAGUGCCCCCCAACACUGAGGGGUCCCUGCGGUGUGAUCACCCCCAGAAUGUAAAUCAUCAAGUCGCCGGAAUAUCGAAGACAGUGGGUCGUGAAGGUGCAUAUUCAAUGAUGCUGGUGAAUAUGGAACGAAUGGCGUUGGGUGUAUACGGUAUGAGAGAGGGGCGAGCCAGUGAGCCAGGAGGACCUGGUCAGGACAGGCUGGAGCAGCGGCAGCAGCCGCUGACUCCUGUAGGCGACGCUGACGGCCGCGCUGACGGCAGCGCUACCCAGCAACGUAAACAGUGUAAAUGUUUUUACAUGCACCGAGGUGUGGUGUAUGGUGCCGGGAGGCAGUGUGUGCUGAGUUACAGCAAUACAGGAAGUCCACCCGCGGCGCAGAAAGAAAUAAAUCGCUGAAAUUAUCGCCAUUAGCACACAGUUGAGAGCGUAAAAUGCAGUGUUGUGAGGCAGAGAGAGAAAAGUGGAGAAUACCAAGUAGCUGGUGAGUGACAGGUGACAUAUAACAGCCCGCGACUGUCAUGUGUCAUGCCAUGACGAGUGUUGUGUCGCCAAGGACACCAAACUGCAACACUGGAAACACCUUGACAGUUUGUCUUUAGACAGAGAGAAGCUUUUACUGAGCCCGAGGUAUUCGUUAAUCGUUCAAGAAGUGAGUCUGACACCUGAGUCUGAUACCUGAGUCUGACACCUGUGUUUCCACUUGCCCCACAAGUCUAAAUUACAGUUUCAAGUCCUUCACUCUACCAUUCCUUCUUCUCCACCAUUCUACCAUAGUCUCCUCCCAGAUGGUAACCUAACCUCCCAAGGUGAUCCAAGCUCACCUCAGCUGAUCCAAGCUCACCUCAGCUGAUCCAAGCUCACCUCAGCUGAUCUAAGCUCACCUCAGCUGAUCCAAGCUCACCUCAGCUGAUCUAAGCUCACCUUAGCUGAUCCAAGCUCACCUCAGCUGAUCUAAGCUCACCUUA